AUAUAUAUAUAUAUAUAUAUAUAUAUAUAUGUCGUCGACGUAAAACAUUAUUAUCGGAAUUUUUAGCUUUGUAUACAACUUGACAAUCAAUUUAUGCAAUAUUCAAUCUUUUAUUGUUAUGGAGGCAAUCAUAUGAAGUACACGUCCCCUUUUGUCUUAUUAUAUGUACUGACAAUUACCAGCUUACAUUUUUCACCAGUAACAGGGUCAAUAUCGUUAUGAUAAUGUAUACUGGAUGUUAAUAUAACAUUUUUUCUCUUCUUUGGUAUAUAUGAAACGAUUUUUAAAUGCUCGGUGAAGCCAAACAUACUUGUGUGGAUGGGUCGUUUAGUAGGUUUUUAAAAUUUAAUUGGCAGUUUUCUUUUAUUGUUCCAAUUACAGUUACUUGGUGAUUCCGAAGUAAUUUUUUCACUAAAGGAAUAGAGAUCAACCAGUUGUCCAUCGUCAGAUUAAUGUAUGAACCAGAAAGAUGUUUGCACAUUCUUAAGACCAAGUAUAGGUUUUGUUGGAAAGUUUAUAUGGCCCUUUGGAUUUGGAUACUACUUAAACAGCCAUGUUUGAAGUAUAAAGUACUUUUGCGUCACUAACUGCUAAAAUCUUCUGCUCAUAUUUGCUACACUUCUCUCUAAAUACUGGAAGUAUCUCAUCUAUGGUGGUAUAGGCUGAACGAUCAUAACCAUUUAGACAAUUUUUUACAAAUUGAUCGAAUAUUGAACGAAUGGGAGCUAGUUUAUCAACUUUUGUUUGAUCUGAGCUUGUUUCUUUGUCAUUAAAACGUAUGCAACGUACAGAAAUCGGAACCUCUGCACUCAUUAGAUAUGAGAGUCCUGGAAAAGCCCGCAUUUCAAUGUUGUCUAUUUCUUGAAAAAUUUGCUUGGAAAGACAAUAUUUAUUCGUACUUUCAACAAAAAUUCCAAAUCUCCUCAGCGGUCUAACACUUGGUUGUCUAUUUUGGCUUUGGUAAGCGGUUUAUUAUAUUAUCCUUCCUUCUUCUAUCAGUUUUUGGCCGUGUAGAAAAUGAGUGAAUGUGGGCUCGUUAUUUUAAUUUACUUUAUAUUUCAAAAUAUGAAUAUAAAAAAGUGGAGAAAUUUUAUGCUCAACACCUUCUUGAUGGAUUAAGGUACUAGCCCGUUCAACCUAAUUUAGCACGCAUCUUAGUAUUUACAACAUAAAAAGUGAUGGUGGGAUAGUGGCGCGACUGUUGGAAGGUUUAGGAUUUUCCAGAAUAUUCUGUAACUAAUUAGUCAUAUAGGCUAGCGAUGAGCAAAUGAAAAAAAUAUAUCGAUAAAUAUCUUAUCGAUAUUUUUAAACAAUAUCGAUUUAUGCAGAAAAAUAAUAUCGAUAUUUUGAUUUAUCGAUAUUUUUACUUAAAGGUGCAAUUACCUAAAAAAUUGUCAAAUUAAUCGAACGUUAAAAAAUUUGAACACACAUUUAAUUUUUCAGUUUUAUUAAUUAAUUAAGAAAAUAAAUAUUUGAAUAUUGUUAAUAAAAUGAAGUUUUUAGUAAUAUCAGAAAAUGAUCAUGUAAACAGCUGUUAGUAAACUGCAUUUUAUUCAAACCAGUAAUCAUCUGGAAUAGACAUAAAAAGUACUCGCUCUGUAAUAUGUUCUCCAGUUAAUCUGCUGGUAAAAUAUUAUGACUGUACAUGGAAAACAUAAUAAGUAUAAAAUAUUAUGAAAAUCUUUAAAAAAUAUCGAAUUUGAUACUUGAAAAUAAAUAUCGACUAUCGAUACUUCAAGAUAAAAAAAAUCGAUGAUAUUUAUCGAUUAUUUUUUGAAAAUAUAUGGAUAGAUUAAUAUAUCAAUAUUUUUGCCUUCCUUAAUAUAGGCAAAGAUCAAAUUUGAUAGAAAAAAAGAAUAAGAUAUUUACACUCGUUAAAAUAUGAAUAUAUUUCAAUUUAUUGUGCAUUAAUAAAUUAUUUUCUUUUUUAUUAUCACUUUUGAGUCUAUAAAUUAUUUUGGAAUUGAAAUUUAAACAGUUGCAAGAACAUUCAUUGAAGAAGAUUACUGUCUAAUUCUGUUUCUAGAAUAUGACAAAAAUAAGUUGUAAUUCUGAAGCAAACCCUAUUAGAAUAUUAGGAUAAUAUUGAUAUAUAAAUUGAAUAUCAUUAAAUUUAUCAAUAUCUAUAAAACCAGUAUAAAAUAUUUAGAUUUAGUUAUCAAAUAUGUAAUUAGAUCUUUCCCCUUUUAAUGUUUAUAUUAUGACAACAGUUUAUAAAUCCAAAAUGCCCUUAUCAACUUCUUAUAGUUUACCAAAUUUUCCAGUUGAUAAAUAAUUUAAAAAUGUGUCAACCAGAGCAUGAGUUCUUUUACGACAAAUCACAUGUGGGUUCUCAGAAUCCUAAAAGCAGCAAUUUUGGCAAUUAACAAAUCCAUUAAGGUGAAAAUGUUCUUUGGAGCUUAGGGUGAUUUUGCUCGAAAAAUAUGACCCCCCUUUCAACAAGUCAUCUUUACUUGCCUGUCUGUUAGAAAUAUAUUUUUUAAUCUUUCUGAAACUCUAAAAAAUCUUCUACUUUAUUCAUGUACUAAAUUAAUUAGUUAAAAUGAAAUACAAAUUUGGUUUUUAAUCCUAAUCAGACAAAUUUGAAGUUUGUUUUAUAGAUUAAUUACGUUUAUAAUAACAUAAUCAUACCUCUGAUUCAACCAAAUUUGGUAACAAGCUAGAAAUAAUUAACCAAUUGGGAUUUUGAGUAUGUGAUCGUGACUGAAUCAGUGACAACACUAUUUAUUCAAUAACAUUGUAUUUAUCAUAAUUGGGUGCCAUUUGUUUCCAUUUUGAUGUAAUUAUCUUCUGUCAAAUAUUAUUGGCUUUUAAAAAGUAGUAUGUAUUCAAUGCUCAGUGAAGUAAUGUUCCUCAAAAGAUUUGAAGAAGUAAAACAUGUCUUGUUCGAUGUAAGGUUAGGUUAGCUUUUUUUCUAUGGCUUUAUGUCACUAUAUUUGUUUGUUAUGAGCAUUUUUUUCUUAAUCUUUCAUCACGAUAUAUAUUCAACUUUACAUUAAUAGCAUUUGUUCCACUUGACAAUGUUUUUCAACAUAAACUCAUCAGAAAAUAUAUCUCCACCUGUACCUUGAGUAUAAUAUUUGUUUUAUGCUUUUUUCAUUUUAGUAUAGAAGUCAGACUAUAAUAUGACAAAAGAUAAAUAUUAAUAUGCUAGAUUUCCCAGAAUUAUCUGUUUCAAUCAGAAGUGUCAGAAGCAUCAAAAAUAAUCUUAAUUUUAUAAUGUGUUUUCCCAGACCCAGCCGAUUUAUUCAUUAUUUUUUUCUUGAAAGGUUUUGAUGCACAGAUACAUGGUUUUCUUCCUCUAUAUCUUUGGUUAUAAAUGAAUUAAAAUUUUUGUCUAUAAACCCUAUCUGAAAUUUUUUUAAUAGCCUAGAAAUGCUGUACACUCAUUAGCAGAGGGCUUCGGAAAAUAAUCCAUAAUCCAUCAAAUUAUAUAAGAACGAUUUUUCAGUAUUAGUAUUAGUAUACUAUAAUUUCUAGAUCUGUUAAUAUAUUAAAAAUAAGAGUAUUUCUUUGGUGUACAUUUUUUUCUAACACUGAAAAAUGAAGAAGACACGAACUUCUAAAGUAAUUAAUACAAAAUUUAAUUUUAUCUGGGUAAUUAGGGAUUAUUAUGUUACAGUUUCGGUUUUGGAUAUUUUAAAGAGAGUAUUUUUAAACUAAUCAUAAAAAUGUGACGUAAUUGCCCUCAAUUAGCUUCUAAAAAAGCAAUUUCAAUCACUUAUCCAUCUUCAUAUUGUUUCUGAUGUUGAGCGAUAACCUUGGAGUUCAAAACGCUCAGAGACGCUUAGGUGGCCGUCUUUGGCUGGUCCAGAAUUUUUAAAAAAAUUAUUGUUGCGUAUUUAGUUGGGACCUCAACUACAUCACCUUCUUUCGGCAUUGAAUUCAGUGAAAUUUUUCUCAAUCCCACUGUUAAUGGUCAGGAAAUGACGUGCAAAAUUUCCUUUGCAACUCAGACACUCUUGUUACAAAGCAAACAUACGCAUUUAUCUUUCAUUAUUCUCCCUCGGUAAGGGAGACUGAGAAGGGUUGUGACAAUUUUUACUUAGAGCAACAUAUCUCAAUAAAGAAACAUACCACAAUUAUAAACGUUAUGCCAUAAUGUAGCCUAAUUAUAACUCUUUUGAAUAUAGUCAUCAAAGUCAAUUAAAAUUAUAUGGUGACUGAGAAAAUUCACAUAAACUGAAACUACUCCUUCUAUCACAACUCUAGUAAGUUGUGACAGGUACCAAGGUUAAUUGUGACAGCUAUGUACUUAGACUAUAUUAAUUAUUUAAAAUAAUAGUAAGAAACAGUAAUAUGAAGUAUUAAACAUUGAAAUAACAAGUAUCAAUUCUUUUAUCAGUAUUUAUGGUUCCAUAACGAGAUCAAUCCAAAAUCCUUAUCUAAUCUUAUAAGCAGUUAUGACAGAUGUAUUGCAGCUUGCCUCCAGUGCAAUCUUCAUGAGACCAGUCUUUACAUUCUAGGCACUGAACCCACUUCUCAUCUGGUCUGCUAAAGAAUUCAAGGCAGCAAAAGCAAUAAUAAGCAUUUUCUGCGUCUUCUUCGGCAUAUUCUGCACUUUUCUUGUUAGUCUGCCUCUUGGCGUUUGUCGUUUUUCCUUCAUUUAAAACACUCUUUUUCAUACAUUUCAACUUUCUACUGGCUUUUAUGGCAGCAAUUUCAUCCUUAGUAGUUGUGUCUGUAAGAUUAGCUGAUUUGAUCUUGCGUCCAUUAGAAUUUGUCUAUUUUCUUGGUGGUGCUUUCGGCAACGGCUUUACUGAUUCUGGCGAGAACACAUUAGAAGUGACAAGAGGAGAACGAGCUGUAGAGUGGAGGCAAUGGGUUCAUUGGUGUUACUGCUUGUCAAAUGUGGAUUGCUAGAUGUCGUGGCUUGAGCCGUGAGUAUAACUGGAGAAAGGGCUCUUGUUUCAUUAUUUUGAACUGUAGCAAUAGUAUGAUUUGGAGUAAGGGGUCUGUUUUCUACAUUGACCAUAGUUUCUUGAACACUUGACGAUUCCUCUGGUUCUGGAUUGAGCAAAAUACGAUCAGUGAUUUGACUAGGUAGAAAAUCGCCUUCUUCAAAGAUAUAUGUAUUUACAGACCAUGUUCCAGUUGCAACAAAAACAGCACUGAUAUUCUGUGCAGUGAUCGCCACAUCAAAUGCUGAUUUUUGUUACAGAUGGAAUAUCAUAGAUACUCAUGACUUUGCAUUAGAUCUCAUCUAAUUGUAACAAGCUGUAUUGAUUGCUUUGUUUAGAGGCCCAAAUAUCGCACGAUCUAACCGCUUAUGUGUGCAGUGUGGGGGGAAAGUAACAAUAAAAUCUCAUUAUCUCUGUAGAAAUCUAUAUUUUUUAAAGCUGUAUGUGAAGCAUGAUUAUCUAGAAGCAACAGUGUUCUUGAAUAUUUUGAAGGCCUCACGUGAUUUUUAAAAUGUGAAAAUAUAAACAUGGGUGGUAUGUAAUUGUCUAUAGCGUUUCCAUCAAAAGUCAGAGUAACCAAGGCUCCUCUUCCACCGAUGUCAUCACACUGACUUGUUUUUCUCCACGCUGUGUUAUUAGUGCCAGACUAUUGAAUGGUGGUUAUUCUUGUCUCAUCGACGUUCCAAAUAUCUUUUUCUUCAAGAUUGUAUUUGCUUAAAACACUUGUGUAGUAGAAAUCAGUCACAUUUGUUUUAUUAAAGCUUGUUGCGCGACCUAUGUUCGUGGCUUAUGGUAAUCUUAUUGAUAAAUUGUCGUUGCCUAAAAAGUUUGAGCCACACUUCUCCUGCUUUCUCAUUUUUUCUCAUGAUGCCGUAUUUUUUUUAUUUUUUUGCUAACAUAAAUGCAAUACUUUUUGUUUUUUUUUUUUGUGAUUAUAAAUAGCGUCACUAGCUAUGCCUUUAUCAGUCUUUCGUGUGUAGUUAUUAAGAAUUUAAACCAUCAAAAGCAUUAUCAAACCACAUGCCCAAAGAAGUUGCUGACAAAAAAGAUUGAUUUUAAUGCCGAAAACAUUUACCACAAAAAUUAGGUUGGAAGAAUUGACACAAACAAACAUACAUAUUAUAUAAACAAAAAAAAACAUUACUAAAAUCAAUUGAAAUAAGCUUACCAUAAAAUAAAUUAAAAUAGGAGAGUGACACUAUGUCGCAACUUUCGCCAAAAAUAGCGACUUGGUCAGAAUAAUAAUUUGUAAUUUUAAAACAAGAUGCAAAGAUAGGAAGACAAUGUCACUCUUUGAAACUUCAAAAACCACUCAAUAUAAGGAAAAAUAGCCUAAUGUGUGAAUUAAAUAUGUCAGAAUAUAGAAACAAUUUCGAUAAAAAAAAUUACUUCCGUUUUUUUUACAUGCAGACAUCAUACUCGCACAACCGCUUGCAAUGCGCCUCUGGCAAUUACUGCGUCAACUAACGCGUCUCUCAAGAAACAAUUGCGUGGUGUUGCCAACUCGCUAACGGUCAUUGGUUCCGACAAAUCAUCUUUGUCACACCCCUCCCUCUGUCAGAUCUCACCUCGGUCUCCCCUGAGAGAAUGAUGAUGGAUGAUUUUGAAAAAUUUUGAUUUGAAAAUUUUGAAUGCACCUAUGUGUUUCCAGUAAAUUCUUAUUCCUUGAUAUCAUCACUAACCAUAUAUAUCAAAGAUCUAAACGAGUUUCGUUUUAAUUAUUGGCGUCUUGGUUUCUUGUUGACACUUUGAUUAUUCAAUGCAACGUUUUAAAGAUUUGUAAUAUCCCAUGUAAAAAUGUUUACACUUUUCUGCGCAUUCACAACAUGAAAGACAUAAACAUAAAUUCCAAGAAAUCUUUAUUGAAAACAAAUUGACGAAUUUUCUGGGUUCCACAAAAUGCAGCAAUGAUGGUUGACUGUUUGAUUAAGUCUUCUAUCUCUGCGAUAUUGGCAGUGGUAACUUCAACUAGCUGUGUUGGAGAACAUCUUUCCAACAAAAUUUCUUUGAAAGAUUUCAAAUUUACGAUGUCCUUGCCUUCAGUCACUGCUUUAUCAGCUGCUCUUGUUGUCCAGCUUAUUUUAUACUCCAUUGUAGUCAAGAAUUUGUGCAAAUUUUUCAUGGUAUCGCACAGUAAACGUUUUUGUUUCACCUGUCGCUUUGACCUUAUCAAAUCUUUCUUUCUUGGCACAUUCGAAAACUUUUGUCCUUAUCCAAAAAGUCUUGAACAUCUUUUUUGACCAUCAUGAAUUUAGCACUGACUUUUAGAAACGCUCUUUUUGUAAGAAUCAUAAUUGAAAAACUUUUUUGAUAAACUGAGUUGUUUAUGCUUCUUCAAAGGAUCUGGUUUUACCAUUUUUUUUCAUUAUAUUUCUUCAAAUUACUGUUAGCUGUUUAGUAAUAACUUCUAAUAGAAGAAGCCUCUUCUUUACAAUUUCAGGAACUCGGACGUUCUUUAAGAGAUACUUUAGCUUCCGGUGAAGUCUGAUUAUUUUUGUUUUGCCUUUGACAUCCCUUACUCUAUCUCUCUUUUCUUAUUAUUUUUGUUCCACUCUUUCCUGUAAUCUGGAUAUUUUUGCAUAAAGUCUUCUCCGUUGCAGCCUUCUCCGAUUAACUGCCAGAUUUCUUAAUUCAUCAUUAUUUUGUAUAGGUCCUGGGCUAGGAGGUAGUGUCUCAUUUAACAGACUUUCGUACUUUCACUGUUCUGUGUCUGUAUGUUUGACUAUGUUUCUUCCAGAGUUUCCUUUUUUGCCUUCUUUAUCAGACACUCAUUGCAGAUAAAGGUUUCACUUAACCUUUUUCUUUUUUUUUCAGGUAUUUCUUUCUUUUUGGCGAAGUUUUUCAAGUGUUACUAAAUCAGCUUUCAUUUUUUUCCUGCGCUUUCGGUCAUAUUCUUGCUUUUUUAAUUUAGCUUCUUCUCUGCUUAUCUUCUUCUUGACAUUUUUCAACUUACAAUAAUAUUGCAGCAAUAAAUGUUAGUUAAUAAAAGCAAACAAGAAAAAAGGUAGUUAACCCACCCAAAUAUCAUUUCCUCACCGUAAAUUUUUAUGAGAAUGAUGGUGAGGAUAUGAUGAAAUGGAGAAUAAUCGUGAAGAACUCGGGACAUAACCUUACUUUUAAAACGAUUUUUCUGCUUAAGGAAAUUGCUCCUGAAAGCCAUCUUGUCUGUGCCACUUAUAAUCAGUUGAAGUACUUACCUUUUGUUUUUUUUUAAAAUGUGAUGAAAUGAUGAUAAAAAAUUGAAAUUAUCUAUAAACUUAAUAAAAUCUUUUUGCAGCGCACACUCAAACACAAUCACAAAAAAUAUAAAUAUAAAACAGACACAAGUGUGCUAAAUUUUGCUUACUUGCAGACGACCGAUUAAAAAAUUGCAAAAAUACUGAGUUUCAACUAUAUUAGUUUCACUGAAAUAGAUGUAAAGAUUAUCUAUGGAGCCCUCUUAACACCAUAAAACCAAUAUAAAGCAACCCACAAUACCAAAAUAAUCAAGAAAAGCUAACACGGGUACAUACGAGAAAUUUGAUUGCUUACCCCACGGCUAUUAUUCUCACGUACAUCAGCUGUUUUCUUAGAUUGCUCCAUUUCAUCAAAGUUUUAUAUACUUUUAUCUAUGAAUUGAUUAGAAUAAACUUUUCAAUUUCAGAUAUUAUUUUGAUUCAAGUAAAAUCAUUAAUGAUUCUUCAAUUUCAUAAAUUAUUUAAGGUAUCAUUGUUUCGCUAGAAAAAAAUAUAUUAUAGGCUUUUCAAGAAGAGGAUAUAUAAAUCGAAAGCAAGGUUUUUUUUGAGUUUUUAAAAUGUGGGAAAUAAUUAAUGUGCAUCGGAUCUAGCUAGACUGUGUUAUAAUAUACGUAUAUGGUUCCAACCAAAAAUCAUUUUUCGUUGUUUUUAAUAUACAUUUAUUAUUAGUACAAAUUUUUUAUUGUAGAAUAAACCGAAUAUAUCCAAAAUAUAAACUGAAAUAUCCUAUUUUUGUAUAUUAUAUCAAUCACAUAAAAGAUAUUAACUAAAUUGUAGUCGAUUUUCGUCUUAUUUUCUAUUGUUUUUGUUGUAUAUAUUUUUUUGUUUUUAUCUAUAAUAUGAAAUAUUUUAAGUACAUGAAAUAAAUUUACGAAACUAAAA